AAGUCGUUAUGUGGGCAGUCUCUUACCAACCUCUUAAACCUCGCCCAAGCCUCACUGAGGAAUUCAUCAGUUUCCUGUUCAAAAUUCGUAAUUAACUUCCUUCUUCU